AGUGAACGCUGGCGGUAGGCCUAACACAUUCAAGUCGAACGGCAGCACAGUAAGAGCUUGCUCUUACGGGUGGCGAGUGGCGGACGGGUGAGGAAUACAUCGGAAUCUACUUUUUCGUGGGGGAUAACGUAGGGAAACUUACGCUAAUACCGCAUACGACCUACGGGUGAAAGCAGGGGAUCUUCGUACCUUGCGCGAUUGAAUGAGCCGAUGUCGGAUUAGCUAGUUGGCGGGGUAAAGGCCCACCAAGGCGACGAUCCGUAGCUGGUCUGAGAGGAUGAUCAGCCACACUGGAACUGAGACACGGUCCAGACUCCUACGGGAGGCAGCAGUGGGGAAUAUUGGACAAUGGGCGCAAGCCUGAUCCAGCCAUACCGCGUGGGUGAAGAAGGCCUUCGGGUUGUAAAGCCCUUUUGUUGGGAAAGAAAAGCAGCAGGUUAAUACACCGCUGUUAUGACGGUACCAAAAGAAUAAGCACCGGCUAACUUCGUG
rnacentral:rRNA from 1 species